ensembl:lncRNA
AGUUAAACCAGUGUGGAACCCUGCUGGUCUCCUGGUGUCCGUGUGUACAUCCCAGAGGAGCCAGGAAUGAGUGUUUGCACCCAGAAGUCAAAGAACCUGGACGUGAGUCCCACAGGGACAUGAUUCAGCCACUUCACAAAAUGGAAGUCUCCCCUGGGAUAAGAGGACGGAAACCCCAUUCAGCCUGAGGGUGAUCCUUCACCCCCAAGGCAAGGCCUGGGCAGAGGAAGAUGGCGGCACGUGGGCUCUGUCAGAGGUUGCUGAGCGCUCGGAGCCUGACUGGGAGCCUGUGAGCGCUCUCGGCCCCCACCGCGUGAUUCAGAAGUGCCUGCUACCAGGAUUAAACCAGCUGAGGACAGGAAGGCAGCGACCAGAUGUGCGGAGAACAGGAUAUCAGAGGGAUGGCCUUCAGUGAAGAAACAUCCCAUAGUUUUGCCCUUGGAAACCCACAGAAGCAACGAACAGGAGCCUUGCCUGGGAGGAACCUUUCAUCUGAUGGAGAGGGCUGUUCGGGUUUGGGCAGCACUUGAGACUCCUUUAAGAUGCUGGGAGUCGGGACAGAAGGAAGAUAGGAGAAAGAAAGUGUUUUAGGUCAAAAAUUACAGCCCAGUUAAAACACAGAUGCUUCUGAAGGAACUAGUGAUGUCCUGAAAUCAAGCUGAGGAGUAAAAGACUGAAUCUUUCCCAGCACUGGUGGGAUCAGGGAAGGGGAGGCUCCAGACUACUAAGCCAGAGGCUGUGCCUGAGAGGGCUUUUGGGGAUGGACCGUGGCAGAGGAGGGGUGGAGGACACAGGCCAGGACCACGGGGAGCACCACCUCCAGUCUUGACCCGGGGUGUCUAGCUCACCUCACCCUCGAGACCACACAUAUUCUACCUAAAUUGAACCUGCGCGGGCUGCAGUCUUGGCUUUUCUGAGGUGCCCAUUUGGAGAUGGGCACCGCUCUCACGGUCCCAGCCCUGGGUCCUGAACUUCCAGAGCACAACAGGGAAAGUUCCCGUGAGCCCACGUGCUUCCAGAGAUGCCCUCCUUUUCUGUGGUGCUUAGAGAGCAGAGUUGUGCUGACACUAUGAAGUGGUAACUAUGCCUUGAGUAUUCUCUCUGAGAGUAGACACACACACUCCACAAUGCCCUUCAUAUUUAACUGUCUCAGGAUAUCACCACUGAGUGUAACACUUCACCACCGAGUCCUGAACAGUAAAGAACUACAACUUCCGGCAACUUGUAAACAAGAGACAAUUCAGUGAUCAAUCCAGCCUCCCUCCCACAGAAACCUCAGCUCAAGAAGGCCGUCUGAUUUAUAAGUCCAGUGGGCCACAGCCUUAGGGUUUUGGUCGUCUCUACGUCACAUGUUUUGGUGGUCCCAAGUGAGAACGUUAUUCCGGCCAUCAGUGUCCAACAUUCCAGUCUAACCGGAGAGCUCCCUCUUGUGGCUAUCCAAUUUAAAGCAGGUUCUUUAAAUUUCCAGUCCCACCAGUUUUCGUUGUUGUUCAGGAAGUAGCUAAAGGGUGCCUGACUCUGCAUAGACUGUAGCAUGCCAAGCUCUUCUGUCCUCCAUGAUUUCCCAGAAUUUGCUCAAAUUCAUGUCCGUUGAGUCGGUGAUGCUAUUAAUCAUCUCAUCCUCUGCCACCCACUUCUCCUUUUGCCCUCAAUCUUUCCCAGGAUCAGGGUCUUUUCCAAUGAGUCGACUGUUUGCAUCAAGUGGCCAAAGUAUUGGAGCUUCAGCAACAGUCCUUCCAAUAAAUAUUCAGGGUUGAUUUCCCUUAGGAUUGACUGAUUUGAUCUCCUUACAGUCCAAGGGAUUCUCAAGAGUCUUCUCCAGCACCACAGUUCAAAAGCAUACAUUCUUCAGCACUCUGCCUUCUAUAUUGUCCAGCUCUCACAUCUGUACAUGACUACUGGGAAAGCCAUAGCUUUGACGGUACAGACCUUUAUCAGCAAAGUGAUGUCUCUGUUUUUUAAUAUGCUGUCUAGGUUUGUCAUAGC